UCGCCGAUUAUUCCGUGAAGUUGAAGUGUUACUGCUGGAAAGUAAAUCAACAUCAGCCCUUAUCAGCACCGAAAGAUUCUGUAUAUAAAGGGCACUUCAGCUUCAACAAGCAGUAUCUGCGAGUUAGUUGUGUCAUUGCUAAACAAGACAAGUGCUAUUCAAUAUAUGUAACUGAAUUUAAAUAAAUUUAAUAUAAAGCAACUGUAGUAAGAGUAUAUUUUCUCCGGAGAAAUACGAUCGCAUGCCUUCAAAAAUGACCAGAAUCGCGCUAUUGUUCUUCGGAAUUUUGCUGUGUUUCACCAUUGCCAUUUUCGAAAAAGCCGACGCCCUCGACUGCUACACUAUGCCUCGAUUUAACGAUAAUGACAGAAAGACAUGCACCGGAGCUAAUGAUGUUUGCUACAAAACCCGAACACUGCUGCCAGGCACGCCAGAAGUCGUCACGAAGGGAUGUUCCGAUCGCAGCAAUAAGAACAUGGAUUGCAGUUGGUCAGUGCAAAACACAAUUCAAAACUGUUACUGCGAUGGAAAUUUAUGCAAUUCAGCCGUUAAAGCCGGACAACUUGGUUUCCUGGGAGUGAUUUGUAGCAUGGUUGUUAUGGCUGUAACACGAGCUCUUUUCUAAAUCUGAUGCUCGGCGGUUACCAAUUGUGGUAUAUUUUUUUUAAUAAUGUCGUAAAGCGCUGCCGAUUUUUGGGCACUUGUACAGGUAUUUUUUACAUGUUAUUUAUGUGAUUCACUCACUUGAUAUUCUACAACUUAAAUGCGUAAUAUUAUUUACCCGAGAUUGUUGAUUUUUUAGCUUCCUCAACCUAAGAAUGUUGUGAUUAAUAAAACCUACCAAACCAGAAGAAAAAUUUAAUUGUGUUCGA